GACGUAGGAGGCGAGCGUUAUCCGGAUUCACUGGGCGUAAAGCGCAUGUAGGCGGUUGGGUAAGUCCGAUGUUAAAGCCCCUGGCUCAACUGGGGGAGGUCAUUGGAGACUACUCGACUUGAGGGCAACAGAGGCACGUGGAACUCCCGGUGUAGCGGUGGAAUGCGUAGAGAUCGGGAAGAACACCAGUGGCGAAGGCGACGUGCUGGGUUGCAACUGACGCUGAGAUGCGAAAGUGUGGGGAGCAAACGGG
rnacentral:rRNA from 1 species